rnacentral:sRNA from 1 species
UUCUACCCGUAAUGGGGAAGGAUGAGAAGCUUCGACUAAGGUUCGAUUCGAGCGCAGCGAAAGCGUUACCGAACGCGCUUGACGAGAGCGAAAGCGCGCAGCUGAGUAUCCUCCCCACCACCA